UAGGGAAUCUUGCGCUAAUGCGCGAAAGCGUGACGCAGCGACGCCGCGUGAGGGAUGACGGCCUUCGGGUUGUAAACCUCUUUCAGCGGGGACGAAAUUGACGGUACCCGCAGAAGAAGGUCCGGCCAACUACGUGCCAGCAGCCGCGGUAAUACGUAGGGACCAAGCGUUGUCCGGAUUUAUUGGGCGUAAAGAGCGCGUAGGCGGCUCUCCACGUCGGGUGUGAAAGCUCGGAGCUCAACUCUGAGACGCCAUUCGAUACGGGAGAGCUAGAGGCAGGUAGAGGAGAGUGGAAUUCCUGGUGUAGCGGUGAAAUGCGCAGAUAUCAGGAGGAACACCGGUGGCGAAGGCGGCUCUCUGGGCCUGUCCUGACGCUGAGGCGCGAAAGCUGGGGUAGCAAACAG
rnacentral:rRNA from 1 species